GAUGAACGCUAGCUACAGGCUUAACACAUGCAAGUCGAGGGGCAGCAUGGUCUUAGCUUGCUAAGGCCGAUGGCGACCGGCGCACGGGUGAGUAACACGUAUCCAACCUGCCGUCUACUCUUGGACAGCCUUCUGAAAGGAAGAUUAAUACAAGAUGGCAUCAUGAGUCCGCAUGUUCACAUGAUUAAAGGUAUUCCGGUAGACGAUGGGGAUGCGUUCCAUUAGAUAGUAGGCGGGGUAACGGCCCACCUAGUCUUCGAUGGAUAGGGGUUCUGAGAGGAAGGUCCCCCACAUUGGAACUGAGACACGGUCCAAACUCCUACGGGAGGCAGCAGUGAGGAAUAUUGGUCAAUGGGCGAGAGCCUGAACCAGCCAAGUAGCGUGAAGGAUGACUGCCCUAUGGGUUGUAAACUUCUUUUAUAAAGGAAUAAAGUCGGGUAUGCAUACCCGUUUGCAUGUACUUUAUGAAUAAGGAUCGGCUAACUCCGUGCCCGCAGCCGCGGUAAUACGGAGGAUCCGAGCGUUAUCCGGAUUUAUUGGGUUUAAAGGGAGCGUAGAUGGAUGUUUAAGUCAGUUGUGAAAGUUUGCGGCUCAACCGUAAAAUUGCAGUUGAUACUGGAUAUCUUGAGUGCAGUUGAGGCAGGCGGAAUUCGUGGUGUAGCGGUGAAAUGCUUAGAUAUCACGAAGAACUCCGAUUGCGAAGGCAGCCUGCUAUGCUGCAACUGACAUUGAGGCUCGAAAGUGUGGGUAUCAAACAGGAUUAGAUACCCUGGUAGUCCACACGGUAAACGAUGAAUACUCGCUGUUUGCGAUAUACAGCAAGCGGCCAAGCGAAAGCGUUAAGUAUUCCACCUGGGGAGUACGCCGGCAACGGUGAAACUCAAAGGAAUUGACGGGGGCCCGCACAAGCGGAGGAACAUGUGGUUUAAUUCGAUGAUACGCGAGGAACCUUACCCGGGCUUAAAUUGCAGAUGAAUUACGGUGAAAGCCGUAAGCCGCAAGGCAUCUGUGAAGGUGCUGCAUGGUUGUCGUCAGCUCGUGCCGUGAGGUGUCGGCUUAAGUGCCAUAACGAGCGCAACCCUUGUUGUCAGUUACUAACAGGUCAUGCUGAGGACUCUGACAAGACUGCCAUCGUAAGAUGUGAGGAAGGUGGGGAUGACGUCAAAUCAGCACGGCCCUUACGUCCGGGGCUACACACGUGUUACAAUGGGGGGUACAGAGGGCCGCUACCACGCGAGUGGAUGCCAAUCCCAAAAACCUCUCUCAGUUCGGACUGGAGUCUGCAACCCGACUCCACGAAGCUGGAUUCGCUAGUAAUCGCGCAUCAGCCACGGCGCGGUGAAUACGUUCCCGGGCCUUGUACACACCGCCCGUCAAGCCAUGGGAGCCGGGGGUACCUGAAGUGCGUAACCGCGAGGAGCGCCCUAGGGUAAAACUGGUGACUGGGGCU
rnacentral:rRNA from 1 species